GGGUAAUCGACUGAAUCCUCCCGAGGGACAUGGACGCCAUGGAGAACCCAGUCCUGGAGCCCAGGGCCGAGCGGAUCGCUCGCUAUAAAGCUGAGAGGAGGCGAGAACUGGCCGAACGCUUUGGCAACAUGGAGGAGCUGCCCUCCAACUGCGUGAGGAGGGAUGGUAGAGAGGGGCCCGACCCAGCGACCGAAGCCCACAGAGGGACUUUGAACUCAGAUGGCCGCAGUGAAAGUGUGAACGGCGGGACGCGAGGGGUUACAAAUGGAUUAGAGGAUCCUGCAGAGUCCAACCCCUUGAGAAGGCAGGGUUCCCCGGACUCUGCCAGCAUGCUGAGUGGGGAGGGGCACCUCGUCCCUCUUGGACUCGAUGCCCCGCAGCUCCACACUCGAGUGUCGGUGGGCCAGUUGAGAAGUGCUCUUCUGCAGCAGAGCGGCAGCGGAGGGCAGUCCGACAAAGUUUGCCCUGACGCUGGGCGAGCCACGUCCUCUCUGGAUCUGGCUGUGAAGCCGGGCUCUGAGGGGGGGCGGCGACGCUCCCGGCGUUACCUCCCCGGCGGGUCAGGUGGUGGUGGUCGCAAGAUGAGCGAACGCUUCAAGACGCAGCCGAUCACAGCCAAUGAGAUGGAGGAGAGCAGCGGGUAGGGGGGCCACGUGCUGUGUUGAAAUAUGGGGCACCUG
rnacentral:lncRNA from 1 species